UCACCUUUGCUUUUGUAUGCCACUUUUUAUUCUAGCACCUUAUUAGUAAAUUCUUUUAUUAUAGCAUCUUAUUCCACAUCUUUGUAGAUGUGUUCUUCUACCACAACCUCCUGCUUAAUAGCCUUAGAGGUCGAUUUUUUUGCUACUAAAACUUAGUAAGUUUUUCCUAAAAUCAUUUUUUUUUUCAUAUCUACUAAUCUUUUGUAUUCUAACUAUUCUUGUUAAAUAUACGUUCUUACUUUCUUUCUUUUUUAUUCAAUAUGUUGUUCUUGGAUUUACUACAUAAUGUUCAUAUA
rnacentral:lncRNA from 1 species